UCUCCGUUGGUGAACCAGCGGAGGGAUCUUUACCGAGUGCAAACUCAUAACCCUUUGUGAACCUAUAUCUGUUGCUUCGGCGGCUCGCUCUCGGGCGAGCCCGCCGGUAAUAUCAGUAUCUCUGUUUGAACCCGACGAUACUUCUGAGUGUUCUUAGCGAACAGUUAAAACUUUUAACAACGGAUCUCUUGGCUCUA
rnacentral:misc_RNA from 1 species